rnacentral:rRNA from 1 species
UUGGAGGGCAAGUCUGGUGCCAGCAGCCGCGGUAAUUCCAGCUCCAAUAGCGUAUAUUAAAGUUGUUGCAGUUAAAAAGCUCGUAGUUGAACUUCGGGGUCUACCCAUCGGUCAGGCUUAAUUAUCUGUACUGGUGAGAUGGAUCUCUACCUUCUGAGGAACUUUCAUGUCAUUUAUUUGGUGUGAUGGGAAAUCAGGACUGUUACUUUGAAAAAAUUAGAGUGUUUAAAGCAGGC